rnacentral:rRNA from 1 species
GUGGGGAAUCUUCCGCAAUGGACGAAAGUCUGACGGAGCAACGCCGCGUGAGUGAAGAAGGUUUUCGGAUCGUAAAGCUCUUUCGUUAGGGACGAACGUGCUCUUUGUGAAUAAUGAGGAGUAAUGACGGUACCUAAAUAAGAAGCCACGGCUAACUACGUGCCAGCAGCCGCGGUAAUACGUAGGUGGCAAGCGUUGUCCGGAAUUAUUGGGCGUAAAGCGCGCGCAGGCGGGAUAUCAAGUCUGUCUUAAAAGUGCGAGGCUCAACCUCGUGAGGGGACAGAAACUGGUAUUCUUUAGUGACGGAGAGGAAAGUGGAAUUCCAAGUGUAGCGGUGAAAUGCGUAGAGAUUUGGAAGAACACCAGUGGCGAAGGCGACUUUCUGGACGAUGUCUGACGCUGAGGCGCGAAAGCUAGGGGAGCGAACGGGAUUAGAAACCCCAGUAGUCC